rnacentral:rRNA from 1 species
GGUGAACGCUGGCGGCGUGCCUAAUACAUGCAAGUCGAGCGAACAGAUAAGGAGCUUGCUCCUUUGACGUUAGCGGCGGACGGGUGAGUAACACGUGGAUAACCUACCUAUAAGACUGGGAUAACUUCGGGAAACCGGAGCUAAUACCGGAUAACAUAUUGAACCGCAUGGUUCAAUAGUGAAAGGCGGCUUUGCUGUCACUUAUAGAUGGAUCCGCGCCGUAUUAGCUAGUUGGUAAGGUAACGGCUUACCAAGGCAACGAUACGUAGCCGACCUGAGAGGGUGAUCGGCCACACUGGAACUGAGACACGGUCCAGACUCCUACGGGAGGCAGCAGUAGGGAAUCUUCCGCAAUGGGCGAAAGCCUGACGGAGCAACGCCGCGUGAGUGAUGAAGGUCUUCGGAUCGUAAAACUCUGUUAUCAGGGAAGAACAAAUGUGUAAGUAACUGUGCACAUCUUGACGGUACCUGAUCAGAAAGCCACGGCUAACUACGUGCCAGCAGCCGCGGUAAUACGUAGGUGGCAAGCGUUAUCCGGAAUUAUUGGGCGUAAAGCGCGCGUAGGCGGUUUUUUAGUCUGAUGUGAAAGCCCACGGCUCAACCGUGGAGGGUCAUUGGAAACUGGAAAACUUGAGUGCAGAAGAGGAAAGUGGAAUUCCAUGUGUAGCGGUGAAAUGCGCAGAGAUAUGGAGGAACACCAGUGGCGAAGGCGACUUUCUGGUCUGUAACUGACGCUGAUGUGCGAAAGCGUGGGGAUCAAACAGGAUUAGAUACCCUGGUAGUCCACGCCGUAAACGAUGAGUGCUAAGUGUUAGGGGGUUUCCGCCCCUUAGUGCUGCAGCUAACGCAUUAAGCACUCCGCCUGGGGAGUACGACCGCAAGGUUGAAACUCAAAGGAAUUGACGGGGACCCGCACAAGCGGUGGAGCAUGUGGUUUAAUUCGAAGCAACGCGAAGAACCUUACCAAAUCUUGACAUCCUUCGACUGCUCUAGAGAUAGAGUCUUCCCCUUCGGGGGACAAAGUGACAGGUGGUGCAUGGUUGUCGUCAGCUCGUGUCGUGAGAUGUUGGGUUAAGUCCCGCAACGAGCGCAACCCUUAAGCUUAGUUGCCAUCAUUAAGUUGGGCACUCUAAGUUGACUGCCGGUGACAAACCGGAGGAAGGUGGGGAUGACGUCAAAUCAUCAUGCCCCUUAUGAUUUGGGCUACACACGUGCUACAAUGGACAAUACAAAGGGCAGCUAAACCGCGAGGUCAAGCAAAUCCCAUAAAGUUGUUCUCAGUUCGGAUUGUAGUCUGCAACUCGACUACAUGAAGCUGGAAUCGCUAGUAAUCGUAGAUCAGCAUGCUACGGUGAAUACGUUCCCGGGUCU